rnacentral:rRNA from 1 species
UACGUAGGGGGCGAGCGUUGUCCGGAUUUAUUGGGCGUAAAGAGCUCGUAGGCGGUUUGGUAAGUCGGGUGUGAAAUCUCCACGCUCAACGUGGAGGGGCCACUCGAUACUGCCAUGGCUCGAGUCCGGUAGAGGAGUGUGGAAUUCCCGGUGUAGCGGUGAAAUGCGCAGAUAUCGGGAGGAACACCCGUAGCGAAGGCGGCACUCUGGGCCGGAACUGACGCUGAGGAGCGAAAGCGUGGGGAGCAAACAGG